CCGCCGGGACCCUCCCACAACAUGUGGGAAUUCUGGGAGAUACAAUUCAAGUUGAGAUUAGGAUGGGGCACAGCUAAACCGUAUCAUAUUGUGAUUUGUGC